rnacentral:rRNA from 1 species
AACGAACGCUGGCGGCAUGCCUAACACAUGCAAGUCGAACGGGAUCCUAGCUUGCUAGGUGAGAGUGGCGGACGGGUGAGUAACACGUGGGAAUCUGCCUUUUGGUUCGGGAUAACCGCGGGAAACUGCGGCUAAUACCGAAUGCCCUCGAGAGAGGAAAGAUUUAUCGCCAGAAGAGGAGCCCGCGUCCGAUUAGGUAGUUGGUGGGGUAAAGGCCUACCAAGCCGACGAUCGGUAGCUGGUCUGAGAGGAUGAUCAGCCACACUGGGACUGAGAUACGGCCCAGACUCCUACGGGAGGCAGCAGUGGGGAAUAUUGGACAAUGGGGGCAACCCUGAUCCAGCAAUGCCGCGUGAGUGAUGAAGGCCUUAGGGUUGUAAAGCUCUUUGUCAGGGAAGAAACGGCCUUUUCUAAUACAAGGGGCUAAUGACGGUACCUGAAGAAUAAGCACCGGCUAACUACGUGCCAGCAGCCGCGGUAAU